GCCACAUGAAACCCCCUUGUGUGGUAGCCAUUAGAACUUCAGCUUAUACUCACCUGGGGGUGAGUGUGAGUGAAUGAAGUCGCUCAGUCGUGUCCAACUCUUCGCGACCCUGUGGACUGUAGCCACCAGGCUCCUCUGUCCAUGGGAUUCUCCAGGCAAGGAUACUGGAGUGGGUUGCCAUUUCCUUCUCCAGGGAUCUUCCUGACCCAGGGAUCGAACCCAGAUCUCCCGCAGUGCAGGCAGACGCUUUACCAUCAGGGAAGACUACAGGUAUUAUUCACAGGAAAGAAGAAAGGCCAUUCUUUAAAUUAUACUUUUCGUCAAUCCGAAAUAGGCAUAGACUCCGGACGUCUUUGAAAAGAGAGAUACACAGAAUUCUCCUGAAGAAAUAGAAGACUAUGAAGAAGAAAAUGUAUUACGAG
rnacentral:lncRNA from 1 species